CUCCUGCAAAAAUCUAUGUAUAGGAGGUCCAGCCUGCCCAGUGACUAUGGGUUCAACGGCCGCGGUAUUUUGACCGUGCAAAGGUAGCGCAAUCACUUGUCUUUUAAAUGAAGACCCGUAUGAAUGGCUAAACGAGGGCUUAACUGUCUCCCCCUUCAAGUCAGUGAAAUUGAUCUAUCCGUGCAGAAGCGGGUAUAAAAUUAC
rnacentral:rRNA from 1 species